AAGACGCGGCGUUCGGGAACCGCGUCAGCCUGAUCUUGCCACAUUCUGCAAUUUCGACGUGAUCCCGGUUAAAUUAAAGAUGUAUAACGAUGCACGCGGCUCGCAUCACAAUGGGACGCGUGUAAACGUUCCUGGUUUUACUUAACGCCGCCCUCUGAUGUUUUAGAUGACGGCUACUGCAUAAUAGUAGACAAGUACAUUGGCUAGGAGGGAUAAUAAGAAUAAGAGUAGCAUUCAGAAUUAGGAUGUUGCACGUGCAGUGGUGAUGCUCGUGAAUCAAGAUGCGCGGCGUUUUGUGAACGACGAUCUUUCAAGAGAUCCAACGAUCGGUAAGCGUUGCGGAUAGCAACCGGAAAACAGUAAGAAGACUCGAAAAGAAAAGACGACGUGCGAGUCAGAUGGACGACGGCAACGCGAACUGAAUUGUUUUGCCUCCCAAACCCAGCCAUACAGAGGAUAAUUCCACAAUAUAUAUAUUUAUUAUUAAUACUGAAUAAGAUGUAUGGCGGCUAUGGCAAUUGAAAUUAUCUAUCGGUUUCAUUGGAAGACCCAACAUUAUUCACAUGGCUUCCUGGGUGGCUCACCGUGUAUAGAAAUUAAUUUCUAAAUAGUGUCUGAAAUCUGAAUUCGUACAGUGGUCUACGAUCUGUGCAUGAUGAAUUGUUAUAGAUUUGGAAACGGAACGGAAUGAAAUAUCGGUGGCAGAAAGCUAUGAACAUAAAAUUUCAUAUCCAGAUGACAUAAAUAUCGGACGGCCGACGGGCCCGGUUUGCGUAACUUUUUAUGAUAAUAUCAUAAAUCGAGGAAACGAAUUAACGCGUGAUCAUAACUGAUACCGAGGGCUGAUUAAAAUCGAAGGAAUUGAAUGAACGGAGCAUCGGUGACGAGCCUACGAGGGGGCGGACAGGGGGCAUUAUCAUAUUUAAUGACGCGUCGUAAAGGACGAAUGCUGCUGCUAUGGAAAACACGAAAAUAACGAAACCGGUAUAUAGCCUCUAUUAAAGAGGGAGAAGUACAAGGCUAGCGAGUAAUGGGCUAAGGAAGAGUUUCCAGGGUAAACAACAAAAGUUUCUUUUGAAGGAUACCGAUACAGGAGGCUCAGCCAUUAUAUCAGAUAAGGUUCUCCUCAUUAUCCAACUAAAAUACCGAACAACGGUGGA